rnacentral:rRNA from 1 species
UACGAACCGUACAAACGUUAUUCGGAAUCACCGGGCUUAAAGGGUGCGUAGGCGGCCAUGUAAGUGGGGUGUGAAAUCCCUCGGCUCAACCGAGGAACUGCGCUCCAUACUGCAUGGCUUGAGGGAGACAGGGGUAAGCGGAACUGAUGGUGGAGCGGUGAAAUGCGUUGAUAUCAUCAGGAACACCGGUGGCGAAAGCGGCUUACUGGGUCUCUUCUGACGCUGAGGUACGAAAGCUAGGGGAGCGAACGGG